GCGUCCCGCCGCGUACCUGCUACCAGUCCCGUUCACCCCUUAGCCUACCCUCCUCGUCAUUUACCCCUCCGACAACUAAAAACCCCCGCCGGAGGCGAAGCGGGGGGCGUGGACUACCGGCUCAAGCUGGCUGCCGCGAGUCUGCGCCCCCGAUCGCGACUCGCGAGGAAGAUCGACCCCUCCCGCCCUCUCUUCUAUCUUGUCAUCCUCUUCAAUGCUGUUCUUCCCUCUCACCCUUUCGCGCGGCGAAACGGAUGAGCGGAAAUUCGGCGGGGUUGACGCGAGCGGAGUCGGGACCGUUCAGGAGAUGAAGCGCCGGUACUAAUGUCGCUUUUUUCGAGUGCGUUAUUUCCUGGCGAACACGGCGAGUCGCAUCGGUCGAUCUUCACCGCGAGGAAUCGAGCGAAACCUGGCGUCUGAAGUCUCUCUAACACUACUGUCUCACGUAAUACUCGGGGGUACCCUGAAAUCAUUACUCGUCAAUCAUCGAUUACGAUCCUCUGACGUGAAUGAUUAUCCGCUGAAGAUUCCACCCUCGGGCUGUAGAUUCCACUCCUACGGCUGACGUUUGUAGUAACAUUUUGGAUUCUCCAGGUGUGCGGACGCGUGGGCGCAAGUCGGUGGAGGUGGUAGGCCGAAGUGGGACGAGUGGUUGGAGAACGUAUCGGUAGAAAGGCUCACGACCCAACGGUCGGAUCGAUCACUCCGAAAAACGUACGCCCGGACGUACAGAUCGCUACGGUUAACCAAGUGGGCGAAAAUUAAUGCGUUUUUGAUGAAGCCGCGAUCCAAUUGUUAUUUUAAGGGGAUGUAUUCGGACGGCGACAUUUCGCAGAAACGGGAACAGAAAUUGGAUUUUAAGCAGAAUGUGAAUGUAUUCACGGAAUGAAUAUCACGUGUAGAAUUGUAAAAUAAGGUUUGGGAAAUACGAUACGUCGCGUCGGUACUUAAUUAUUUCUCUGUAAAAUAGACACAUGCGCGCAGCGAAAUAUCGCGCGCAAACUUCACGGUCUGUUUUGCGAUUACCAAAAUUAUAAAUGAACAUUUUGUGGAUUUAAUACUUAAUGCAGCAUAAAACUUGUAUAACAUCAUAAUGUACUGUAAUAAUAUAAUAAUAAAAUACUGCAAAUGUAAAACGCGUUUGAUCAAAUAAACCUUUACAAUAUU